GGCUCCCAUCUAGCACUGGGGGGCAGCCAGGUCUAUGGGGUCAGCCUCUGAAAAGGUACCCUGGCAAUGACCCUGGACGGUGGUCAGGAGCCGGUCCAUGCACAGGGAGGCCCGUGGUCCCUGGAGACCACGCCUCCAGUUGGGGAGAGGGUGACACGGGGUGGGGCAGCCAGAAGUGCUGCUUUCUAGGGGCCCAGGGCUCCACCUGGCCUGCAUGGGCCUCUCCACACCCCAGGACGCUAAGCCAAAGCUUCCACAGGACAAGGGGUGGCAGGAGAGGAGUUGGGGUGGGUGGCUCAGCCUGGGGGCUCUGCUGGAGGCAGGUGACAAGGAAAGGAGAGGGGGUAGGGCGGGGUGGAGCGGGCAUGCUCGGAGGGGCUAUGUGGCCUCCAUCCUCAUGGCAUGGCUGCAGGGUCAUUCCCCUCACCGCUUCUAACUUCAGAUGUGGGGAAAGGGGCCUCAUCCCGACCAUUAAAUGAAUGUGUGGCUCAGAGGCCUGGUGAAGCCCCUGCCAGCGGGACCUGGGCCUGGCGGGUUCCCGGAGCAGGUGGAGAGGGCUGGGCACAGCAGGCGUCACUGAUACUGGGGUUUCUCGGUGGACACAGCUGGGAAGUGUAGGUCAGAUGUAGAUCUGGGGUUUUUACUGGGCAAAUCUGACACCAUUUGAGCAUCAGAAUCCACAGCAAUAGCCUCGGACGGAGCCACAGAGGUCAGAAGAGCCCACUGAGAGCUCAGCUGUUGGGAUAUGAAGGGGCGGCCAGGGCUCCUCUCUGGGUGGAGUGAACCCCCAGGCAUGACGGGAGGAGGGCAGGGGUCCCCCGAACAGCCCAGCAGCCAUCCUGGAACUCCUUGUUCAGCAAGAAACACCGGGAGGUGACAGUUUGAGGAGAAACAAGAUAUUUACAUCCUCCCACAGCAUCUCCCCAAAUACACUGUUUCAUGACAAAUAGAAAACAGGAGCCGAAUUCAAAUCCAAUUUAGAAAAUCACUUCCGAUGUGGUAUCCACUAAACACCACACUGCAGCCAACCCAGUCCAGCCUUGGCUGUGAGGCAGUGCCCGGGGCCUGUCCUGCUGAGGCCCCAGGCCCUCACUGGCCCAUGGGAAUGGCACGUG
rnacentral:lncRNA from 1 species